CUAAAUGUGAUUUCGUUUAGUAGUUAUGUUUGAACUUAAUGGGAUUGUAGUUGCAAAUACGAUUUCAUCUUAGUGUUUUUGGCUUGCUCGAGAGAGAGGUUUUAAAACUAAGACUACUAAAUCGAUAGCCGGUGGUUAUUGGGUCGUCGUGGGUUCAGCUCGAGAGAGUGAAUCCUAGACCUUCUCCCACACAUUCAGCUCGAGAGGUGAAUGGGCUAAGGAGGAGGUUGUGCUAUAGUGCUGCCACUCGGUGUUCGAGAGAAACUGAGUUAAUUCGGGGUAAGUUGUUCGAGAGAAAAUUUACCCACUAAAGUCUAGCCUAGUUACAAAUAUUCAGCGAUUCACUAUCAAUAGC
rnacentral:lncRNA from 1 species